rnacentral:rRNA from 1 species
CAAUAGCGUAUAUUAACGUUGUUGCAGUUAAAAAGCUCGUAGUUGGAUUUCUGGAGGGAGCGUCGGCCCGUAUUUACGAGUGCGUGACGUCUCUGUCCAUCCUUGCGGGAAGGCACUGCAUUGAUUUGUUGUGUCGGAUCGCAUCAUUUACUGUGAAAAAAUUAGAGUGUUCAAAGCAGGCUUUCGCUUGAAUACAUUAGCAUGGAAUAAUAAGAUAGGACUUUGGUGCUAUUUUGUUGGUUGAGCCUAAAGUAAUGAUUAAUAGGGAUAGUUGGGGGCACCUGUAUUGCGUUGUCAGAGGUGAAAUUCUUGGAUUUACGCAAGACAAACAGCUGCGAAAGCGUCUGCCAAGGAUGUUUUCAUUAA